GGGUAGGGAACUUCCACUCACAGCUCAGGAGAGUGCUUUUCCCACUGUGUUCAGCCAGCGGGAUUCAUCCAGCGCCAACCAGCCCUGGUUCCGCGUUCAUUCUCCACUAGGGACUUCACUAAGUUCAGAGCAAAUGUGACUCAGCUGCUCCUCUGAUUCACCAGGGGGAAAAUGCAGAGGAAUGAGUGUUUACCAAACACUCUGGAGAGGCCAGAAGGACCAGCGGCGUUCUGCCUGGGCUAGGCCACCGAGGCCACCGACAUGGCCAGACAGCUGCCUACGUGACUCCGGGAGGGAGGAGGCCAAAUGAGCCUCACUCCUAUUCCAGGGCUCUGCUCUUUCCUCCUCUAACAAGGCCUGGAGGAAACAAGGUUCUUCAGGGAAGAAAGGAGGCUGUGGUGAUCCUGGAGCCAACAAGCCUGAGGACGUACAGACCGCAGGAGGGUCCCACCACCACGCAACAGCAGUCAAGAGGCCUGAGGAUGCCCAGGCCAACUCUCUCAAUAGGUACGGGAGGAAAAUGAGGACUGAGCAAAGCACCCUGGCCAAAACUUCAUGGCUGCCGAGUGGUAGAGCUGAAAUAAAAUUUCCUAGUUUGGCUCCUUCUUGGUCAGUUCUUUGGUUUUUGUGACAGUGACCUUUCAGGCACCGGACAGGAUGGGUGGGAAAUUAUAUACUGUGCUUACAUGGGUAGCAUCUGUCUACUUUUCUGCUCCUAGACUCAUCGGUACCUGCAGCCGAGGGUAUUGGGGUUCCAUCGUCCUGACAGAGGUCAGGGCCAGCUGAGGUGU
rnacentral:lncRNA from 1 species